rnacentral:rRNA from 1 species
AUUGAACGCUGGCGGCAUGCCUUACACAUGCAAGUCGAACGGUAACGCGGGGCAACCUGGCGACGAGUGGCGAACGGGUGAGUAAUGCAUCGGAACGUGCCCAGUUGUGGGGGAUAACUGCUCGAAAGAGCAGCUAAUACCGCAUACGACCUGAGGGUGAAAGCGGGGGAUCGCAAGACCUCGCGCAAUUGGAGCGGCCGAUGUCGGAUUAGCUAGUUGGUGGGGUAAAGGCCCACCAAGGCGACGAUCCGUAGCUGGUCUGAGAGGACGACCAGCCACACUGGAACUGGGGCACGGCGCAGACUCCUACGGGAGGCAGCAGGGGGGAAUUUUGGACAAUGGACGCAAGUCUGAUCCAGCCAUGCCGCGUGCGGGAAGAAGGCCUUCGGGUUGUAAACCGCUUUUGUCAGGGAAGAAAUCUUCUGGGUUAAUACCUCGGGAGGAUGACGGUACCUGAAGAAUAAGCACCGGCUAACUACGUGCCAGCCGCCGCCGUAAUAC